UUCCUACGGGAGGCAGCAGUGGGGGAUAUUGCACAAUGGGGGGAACCCUGAUGCAGCGACGCCGCGUGAAGGAAGAAGUAUCUCGGUAUGUAAACUUCUAUCAGCAGGGAAGAAAAUGACGGUACCUGAGUAAGAAGCCCCGGCUAACUACGUGCCAGCAGCCGCGGUAAUACGUAGGGGGCAAGCGUUAUCCGGAUUUACUGGGUGUAAAGGGAGCGUAGACGGCAGUGCAAGUCUGGAGUGAAAGGCGGGGGCUCAACCCCCGGACUGCUCUGGAAACUGUACGGCUGGAGUGCAAGAGAGGU
rnacentral:rRNA from 1 species